rnacentral:rRNA from 1 species
AACUCGCCUACACGAAGUCGGAAUCGCUAGUAAUCGCGGAUCAGCAUGCCGCGGUGAAUACGUUCCCGGGCCUUGUACACACCGCCCGUCACACCAUGAGAGUUGGGGAUACCCGAAGCCUGUGAGCUAACUUUUAGAGGCAGCAGUCGAAGGUAGAAUCAAUGAUUGGGGUGAAGUCGUAACAAGGUAAC